rnacentral:rRNA from 1 species
UGGGGAAUUUUUGGACAAUGGGCGCAAGCCUGAUCCAGCCAUGCCGCGUGCGGGAAGAAGGCCUUCGGGUUGUAAACCGCUUUUGUCAGGGAAGAAAUCUUCUGAGUUAAUACCUCGGGAGGAUGACGGUACCUGAAGAAUAAGCACCGGCUAACUACGUGCCAGCAGCCGCGGUAAUACGUAGGGUGCAAGCGUUAAUCGGAAUUACUGGGCGUAAAGCGUGCGCAGGCGGUUUUGUAAGACAGAGGUGAAAUCCCCGGGCUAACCUGGGAACUGCCUUUGUGACUGCAAGGCUUGAGUGCGGCAGAGGGGGGAUGGAAUUCCGCGCGUAGCAGUGAAAUGCGUAGAUAUGCGGAGGAACACCGAUGGCGAAGGCAAUCCCCUGGGCCUGCACUGACGCUCAUGCACGAAAGCGUGGGGAGCAAACAGGAUUAGAUACCCUGGUAGUCCACGCCCUAAAACGAUGUCAAC